rnacentral:rRNA from 1 species
AGCGCAGUGUAGCAAUACGAGUGGGCGGCGACCGGCGCACGGGUGCGUAACGCGUAUCCUAACCUCCGUUACUCAGGGAUAGCCUUCCGAAAGGGAGAUUAAUACCUGAUGGUGUUGAAAUUCCGCAUGUUAUUUCAACUAAAGAUUUAUCGGUCACUGAAGGAUGGGCCUGCGUCUGAUUAGCUAGUUGGUGGGGUAACGGCCCACCAAGGCGACGAUCAGUAGCCGGUCUGAGAGGGAUGAACGGCCACACUGGAACUGAGACACGGUCCAGACUCCUACGGGAGGCAGCAGUGAGGAAUAUUGGUCAAUGGCCGAGAGGCUGAACCAGCCAUGCCGCGUGAAGGUCACGGCCCUAUGGGUCUUAAACUUCUUUUGUAAGGGAGCAAUAAGGUCUACGUGUAGACUGAUGAGAGUACCUUACGAAUAAGCAUCGGCUAACUCCGUG